UAGAUGUCGAGUAUGGGUUAA
rnacentral:siRNA from 1 species